CCUUUUGUUCACUCAAAAACUCAGUGCCAGCCGGAGAGAAGAGCCUCAGAGUCUCAUCUGUGAAGUUCAGUGAUGGGAAUGUGAUUUGACGUCCAUUUCAACAACUAAAACAAUGAAAGAUGAAAAUACACUUUUCUUACUGAGUAUUUUAAAGACUCUUGUGUUUCGUAUAUUUGGGAACAUUAAUAUUGAGAUUUCUUUUGAUUAUUAUGGAAAGAGGUUGCUGUGGGUUCACCAGAAAAUGGAGACUGCGCCUUUAAAGAGAAAUCACAGCAUGGAGACGACAACUAACCUAAAGUGGAUUAAAUCUGGAAAGGAAGAAAGAGAGAGAAGGACAUCGAGCAGUGAAGUGAGGAUCAACAGCAUGUUAGCACCAAGAAUCCACUACGGGUGCAAUCUGCUAUAGGAAGGUUUCUUGAGAGAAGUGUCUCUGAAGACAAACAUUUUGUCAUUAAAGUUAAUAUAAGCGUGGUAAUAAAAAGGCAGUUAAAGAGGAAUAUAACAGAUAAGGCAAAAUACGACCCAAAGAAAUUCUUUCAGAAGUAAAAGAACAGUCAGGAAGGAGGUAAAGUGCAUCAGAAAUAGCUAAAGGAUAGGCUUGAUAGGGAUGAUAUUCAGGAAUGUGGCCACUAUAGAAGGAUAAAGCAGAUGUCACACACGAUGAAAAUUUGGUAAAGGCUUAGGGAAAAACUCACCAUAGCAAAAGAGCAAUUUGGUUUAAUGCCAGGAAGGGAACGACUGAUGCAAUUUUUGUUUUAUUAAAACUCACAGAGGCACAUGGAGGAAAACAGAAGGGUUUGCAUAUGGUGUUUAUUGAUUUGGAGAAGGCUUAUGAUACGGUGCCACAUAAAGAGGUCUGGUGGAGCCUGACAGAGAGAAAGGAGGACCACAGAAGUAUGUGAGGACUCGGGUUAAAAGCAGUGCUGGGAUAACAGACAAGAUACCAGUUAGAGGAGGUAUACACUAGGAAUCUUCUUGAACUCCUUAUCUCUUUGAUCUGGUUAUGGAUAUGAUGAGUCAUGAGAAGAAGACAUUAUGUUGUGUAAGAGUAGAAAAAAUGGAAGUGGAGAGAAAGUUGGGAAAAUGGAGAAGGGCUUUGGAAGAUCGAGGACUGAAAAUAAAUAGUAAAAAUAAAAUAGGAACAUAUGAGGGUUAACAAUCCAUUUUCAGAAGUUAGCCUUCAGGGAGAGUUAUUGGAAAGUGUGGAUACAUUUAAAUAUCUAGGAUCAGUGAUAGCUCAAGAUGGACAAUUAGAUGCAGAGAUAACCCACAGAGUGCAGUGUGGAUGAAGGUAUCAGGAGUGUUGUGUGAUCUAAGAAUUGUGGUGAAAGUUAAAGGUAUGGUUUUGAAGACAGUGGUAGGACCAGCAAUGAUGUAUGAAGCUAAGACAUGGCAGUAAAAGGAGCAAAGCAGGAGAAGAAUUUUGACAUGGCCAAAAUAAGAAUGUUGAGAUGGACAUGUGAAGUUAAAAAAUGGAUAGAAAAAGAAAUGAGACAAUAAGAAAUACAAGAAAGGGUUGAGAGAAAUCUAAGAAAGUAAAGGAAAUUAGAUAGAAGUGGCAUGGACAUGAGAUAAAGAGAGACAAUGAAUAUGUGGGCAAAAGAGUGAUGGGAAUGGAAGUCUAGGGGAAGACAAAGCAAAGGAGGAGAAAUCAGAGGUGGAUGGAUAAAAUAAAUGGAUAACUGAAGGAAAAGGGAUUGACUGGGGAGGAGGUGCAGGACCAAGCUGUUUGGAGAAGGUUGAUUAAGCUCAUCAAAUCCACAUAAAAUUGGGAGAAGAAGAAGAAGAAGAAGAAGAAGAACUGAGAGAAAAAAAACCUAACUUUAUAGGAUUUCCAGGCUAAAAAACCUCCCUGCUCCCAGAAGAACAAGAAAAGGAAAUAGAUUAACAAGAUUAGUAAUGGUUGCAGGUUCAUAGAAGAGUCUGCUAAUUCUAUGCAUAUCCAUUUUAUUAAGUGCAGAAAUAAAAUAUAUCCAUAAAAAUCCAUAGUGGUUCUGCUCAGGAGGCAUAUCACACAUUUGAUGCCACAACCACAGCACGGUAACAACAAUGCUAGAGAAAUUAUAGAGAGGAGCAACUACUCUUAUUAUAGAAUAUUGGAACUUCAGCUAUUAGGAAAGACUAAAGAAAAUGAACCUUAAAUUUAAAGAAAUUGUGAUAAAGAAGGGACAGCAUAAAAUGUUAUAGUUAUUAAGGCAAUUAGUAGGUUGAUGUCCACUGUUCCUUGAGGGAAACUGAUUAAGGAUGAAUUUCACAAAAAUGUAUCAAAUCCUUCGUCAUGUAAAAAAAUAUACAAACGUACAGUAGGUAGUUCUUGCUUAAGUAGCACCUCAGAGACCUUCAGAUCUCACCUUAGAAUUAUUUUGGACAUGUUACUCUAACUAAAUAUAAUUUCUAGAAGACUGAUGCUUAAGACAGCAACAUUUUUCUAAAGCAGCUUGUGCCUAUAUAUAAUGACACAUUUUUUCUUGGUUUUUCA